AAUGGAUAAACGAGAAGCUAGCUGUCUCAAAAUUAUAUAUAAAAAUUGGCCUUUAGGUGAAGAGACCUAAAUCUUAAUAGAGGACAAGAAGACCCCGUAGAGCUUUAGUCCUAACAACCACACCUUUUACUCUGAAACAGAAUAAAUUUGUCGUAAUCUCUGGGCUUUGCUGGGGCGGCAAAGGAAGACCUAUCUUCCAUUUUAACCUUAAAGCUUUAUUCGGUUUUACACACCCAAAAUUAAAUGAUCCUAUUUUAGAACAAAGAAAAUAGCUACCUCGGGGAUAACAGAUUAAUCCUUCUUGAGAGUCCGCAUUGACAGAAGGGAUUGACACCUCGAUGUUGGCUUAGGGGACCCUGUGGGUCAGCAGCAGCCCACAA
rnacentral:rRNA from 1 species